rnacentral:lncRNA from 10 species
CUGGGAUGCGCUUACUGCUGCGCUGCUGCUCGGUCAGCCAGCGUCUGGGAUGGGAGCGCUCCUGCAUUUUACAUGACUGCGGGGCCUGUUCCUUGCGCCUGUCUGGUCGCGUCACAUCAUGGAGGGUUUCUCGGGGCGGCCGGCCGCCUCUGAGCACAGCCAGGGUGGUGUUUGCAGCACAGCUGCUGCCUAGGCCUCGCUGCGGAGGUGCUGGGCCACGGCCCCGUGGAGGCAGAGCCGCAGGGCCAUCGACAUGUCCUUUGAAAACGGGCAUUUCCCCAACUCAUGCAGGUGGAGGGGAGAGCGAAGCCAAAUGGGACACCGGCCCCCACACACUGCCCCGGCUCCUGCAUUUCCGGAGAUGGAAACCUGGAGAGCAGCUGGGAUCUUGAAAACGUGGGUUGGACUGCGUCACCCCGACCCCUGCCUCAAAGCCCCUCCGUGGUUGCCUACAGCACAGCUUGAAGCCCCUUGGUUCUGCUUCCCGGGCCUGCAGCGCUGGCCCCAGCCUGGCCGAGCGAGCAUUUGUUCACCCAAGACCUUUCCCCUCCUGCCCUCGUGGAGCCUCCACAAGGAGUAAACAACCACUUCUGGUCCCUCAAAGCAUCAACUCUGUGCCUUGCAGACAGCGGACACGUAACACAGCCACGCGGCGUGAACAUGAGCAGACUUCUUUUUUCCAGGAUGUGCACGGUUUCCACGACAAUGCCCACUGCACGCCUUAUGGCCUCACCAGAGACGUAAAGCAGAUGCCAAGAAACUUCCCCCCAAAAUGGGCUGGCUUGCCAAGCCCAGGACCGCCUGUCCAGCUGGGGCUGGGGGCAAGGAUCCCAUUUUCUGUGACUCUCUUUGCUCUGAUGGUCAGGUUCACCGGCCGUACGUGUAAUCUGAAGCAUUCGGUAGCGAUCUAAUUAAAUGUUAACACAUCAUUAAAGUGAUUUGCGAUAAGCACAGUUAACAGUUUGAUAAAUCCAGUCCGGGCUGACUCCAUGCUGAAAACAAUCACUCCCAAUCAGGAGUGGGCUGUUGACAUCCGCUGAAUGUUGAGGGGACCCCCGUACAGCUGCCAUGUGCCCAGCCCUGGCGUCGGUGCCCAGGGAUGCUGGAAGGGCUGUGUGCGGACGUGGGGUGCUGUGGUGGGAUGGGGGCAGCAGUUAAUCCCAAGGCCGCUGGUGUCUGGGUGUCCCAGCAGCAGCCUGCACGCCUUGCAUGGGAUUAAGGAAGAUCUUGGUUAACAGUCUGUAAUGAAGGCGGCCUCCCGGUUGAAGGCUGUGAACUAUUGCUUGUUAAUGGGAUUAAUUGCCUCGGGAAGUAACUCUGCAUUUCUGUGCAUCUGGUGAUGUGGGCAGAGGGAUAGGAGCUAUUUUUGUUUGAAUAUCAAUACCGUGAGUUGGAGGCAGGGGAGAGAUGGCACAGGAGGGAAGCACAUUUGCUCAGGGGAGAGAACAGCUUCAGAAAAUACAAACGGCCUAGUAGCAAAGCUCUCAAUAAAGGACACAUAGAGAAGUCCUGAAAGAGCAAAAGGGGCCUACAGAAGAUCAGGGCCUGUGGGAGCUGGAUGGCACUGGGGGACCAUCUUAGGGAAUCCUCUUCAUUUGACAGCCAGGGAAACUGAGGACCAGAAGGAGAGACAACCUCACCGUGGAGGUGGGGAACUUUAGUGCCAAGGUAGGCCUGGAACCUGGGGAGCCAUGUUGCUGGUGAGCAGGUGCAGGCUGUGUCCCCGGAAGGCUGGGCAUGGGGUUCAGCUGGAGGCUGGUCCAGGGCCCCAGUGCCCGCCGCCUGGUGGAGUGCAGUGAGCAUGACAGGGGGUCAGUGCCCUGGGAGUGCCUCCCCCACACCCUUCACGCGUGGUCUGGCCUUGCUGCGUGAUUCCCAGUUCCCG